rnacentral:rRNA from 1 species
UUCGAUUAAGCCAUGCGAGUCGAGAGUCUUAGGGACUCGGCGUACCGCUCAGUAACACGUGGGUAACCUGCCCUAUGCUGGGGAAUAACCUCGGGAAACUGAGAAUAAUGCCCCAUAGUCCACCAUGCCUGGAACGGUUGGUGGAUCAAAGCUCCGGCGGCAUAGGAUGGGCCUGCGGCGUAUCAGGUUGUAGGGGGUGUAAUGUACCCUCUAGCCAUCAACGCGUACGGGUGUUGGGAGACAUAGCCCGGAGAUGGAUUCUGAGACACGAAUCCAGACCCUACGGGGUGCAGCAGGCGCGAAAACUUGGCAAUGCGAGCAAUCGUGACCAGGGAACUCCAAGUGGCUGGGGUAAGACCCAGUCUUUUCUUGACUCUUCAACGGUCUUGGAAUAAGGGGUGGGUAAGGACGGUGCCAGCCGCCGCGGUAAUACCGGCGCCUCAAGUGGUAGUCAAUUUUAUUGGGCCUAAAACGUCCGUAGCCUGUUUGGUACAUUCGUGGGUAAAUCAACCAGCUCAACUGAUUGAAUUCUGCGAGCACGGCCAGACUUGGGACCGGGAGAGGUGUGGGGUACGCUCAGGGUAGGGGUAAAAUCCUGUCAUCCUGAGCGGACCACCUGAUGCGAAGGCGCCACACUAGAACGGAUCCGACGGUCAGGGACGAAGCCUAGGGGCACGAACCGGAUUAGAUACCCGGGUAGUCCUAGGUGUAAACGCUGUGGACUUGGUGUUGGGGAUUCUCCGAGGAUUCUCAGUGCCGAAGCGAAGGUGGUAAGUCCACUGCCUGGGGAGUACGGUCGCAAGGCUGAAACUUAAAGGAAUUGGCGGGGGAGCACCGCAACCUGAGGAUUGUGCG